rnacentral:rRNA from 1 species
GAUGAACGCUAGCGACAGGCCUAACACAUGCAAGUCGAGGGGCAGCACAAGGUAGCAAUACUGAGGUGGCGACCGGCGCACGGGUGAGUAACGCGUAUGCAACCUGCCUGUAACAGGGGAAUAGCCUCUUGAAAGAGAGAUUAAUGCCGCAUAAUACGAGAUUCGGGCAUCCGGAUUUAGUUAAACAUUUAUGGGUUACAGAUGGGCAUGCGUUUCAUUAGGUAGUUGGUGAGGUAACGGCUCACCAAGCCGACGAUGAAUAGGGGUUCUGAGAGGAAGGUCCCCCACACUGGUACUGAGACACGGACCAGACUCCUACGGGAGGCAGCAGUGAGGAAUAUUGGUCAAUGGACGCAAGUCUGAACCAGCCAAGUCGCGUGAAGGAUGAAGGUAUUAUGUAUUGUAAACUUCUUUUGUCAGGGAAUAAUGGGUGUCACGUGUGACGCAGAGGAAUGUACCUGACGAAUAAGCAUCGGCUAACUCCGUGCCAGCAGCCGCGGUAAUACGGAGGAUGCGAGCGUUAUCCGGAUUUAUUGGGUUUAAAGGGUGCGUANGCGGUUUGUUAAGUCAGUGGUGAAAGUUUGCGGCUCAACCGUAAAAUUGCCAUUGAAACUGGCGAACUUGAGUACAGUAGAGGUAGGCGGAAUUCGUGGUGUAGCGGUGAAAUGCUUAGAUAUCACGAAGAACUCCNAUUGC